rnacentral:lncRNA from 1 species
GGAGAAGUCCCUGACCUUUUCCUAUCACAUAACCAGCUCUCCGGUUCUAUACCUAAAUCACUAGGCAACCUGGAUUUUAACCGGAUCGAUUUCUCAAGGAACAGGUUCAUAGGCGAUGCUUCGAUGUUGUUUGGAGCCAAUAAAACGACAUUUUCUAUUGAUUUAUCAAGAAACAUGUUCCAGUUCGAUCUCUCCCGUGUUGAGAUCCCUAAGACAUUUGGUAUCUUAGACUUGAAUCACAAUGGGAUCACAGGGAGUAUCCCGGUUCAGUGGACUGAAACUCCUUUCCAAAUCUUCAAUGUUAGCUACAACAGAUUGUGUGGACGCAUCCCCACUGGAGGGAAACUGCAGAUGUUUGAUUCUUAUGCAUAUUUUCACAAUAAGUGUUUAUGUGGUGCACCACUUGAUAGUUGCAAGUAAAGAUUCAAGCAGCCAAGCGUAUUACUAUUCUACUUUACCAAAAUAAUCCAAUAAGUCUAUAGACAACUGUAUGUUUUAUUUGGAUUGACUGAUUAAAAAAUCAACCAAACUUGCUUCAAAAUAUUUGUAAUACAAUCUUCCAGUUUGAAUCACAAUCAGCAUGUUAGACACAUUUAAAUGAAGAUCAAUCGCAAAGGUUCUUGUUAAUUAGAGGUUGUUGUAAAUAUCCUUUUUUUUUUUUUUGUAACACGAACUUAUAUUAAAAGUUCAAUGAGCAUAAAAGUCUACAACUGAAACAGAGGAUCCCAGAGCAUGCUCAAACGGUACAACGAAAAUAGAAAGCAUUACUAAACAUGGAAAGAUAUACCCUAUAAGAGGCGAGUCAAGCUCAACAAGAUGAAGAACCCCAUGGAGAAACUUCACCUUAAUCUCUAAGGCGAUUGUUCGACAUAACAAUUGAUAGUCGAAGACGACGUUGAAACACCAAUAAGAAGUGGAUGGACUGUUGACCAGCAAGAGCUUUUGGUGAGAAGCUCUAAAACCAUAGGCAACACCAAGAAAAUGAAGCCCUAUCUGACUUGAUUUGAAAAUGAAGCAAGCGCGAUCAGUUCUAAACUCAACAAAGCUUAUCAACGAGACUAGGUGAAUCUCAAAUGCUAGUUUAGCCUUCAUACGGACGUUUAGGACAAUGGAGUUGGAUGACGGAUUGAACGGUUUGAUCGGGUCAAAAUCUUAGACCUCAACAUUACCGUGUUGAAGCCAAUAACUUGUAACCAGAAUAGACCUGAGCAUGUAGUCAUCGCACUCGUUCUGCUUGAGCGUGUUGUUGUAAAUAUCCAUUAUCCACUUUUACGGCCAAACUUGUUGGUAUUCCGUUUCCGUUCGACAAUGGCAUAAAACAUUAAAUCAUAACCAUGUAGUAUAUAUGCAUGAUUUGACCAAGUGUAUAUAUCUGAAUCCGAAUGCUGACGUGUCAAUAAUAUUAUAUUACUAUAAACCACUAGACUAAGCUUGAUUAAAAGUUCUAGAUGUCGUUGUGUCGACCCCUAGACUAUACCCGUUAAUUGGUAAUUAUCUUAUUAUUAUUUAGUACUAAAAAGACAGUAGUAUAUUUUAGUAUAUAUUUUUUGAAUGAAUGUAAGACAAUAUUCAAACAAAAAUACUGGGUAACGUGCUUCUGUUUCCGAAAGGUGUUUUUAACUUCUAAAUAGAGAAAGAAUGAAGAAGAAAAGAAUGUAAAGAAUUAAUGAUUUAGGUGCCUAUUCUUGAGCCAAACCUUAUUGCUAUCCCAUCUGCAUAUGUUCUGUUUCCUUCUGUUUCUGAUAGUCCUACAGAUGCGUUUCUAGUUUGAUAGGUGGAGAAGGAGCUCCAUGCUUCUGACUGUUUCUCUCACGCCAGAUGUUAUAUACAUGUGCUCAGAGGCGUGCCUACAGUGUAUUGAAAAAGGCAUUCGCUUUCCCUAAAUAAUAUUACGUUUUCUAGGGCCCCAAAAUUUAAAAUAAUUUCUAGUUAAGUUGCUUAAACUUAUUUUUUUUUUAAAAACUAUCCACGAGAAUCGAAUAACUCAAUUUCUAAAUCCAUAUACAUUUUUUAUAGGACAUAAUAUAGCAUAUUUACGUAAUAAGUGUUAAACUUAUGUAUUUCGCGAAUGUGAUAUAUCAUAUUAAAAAAUUGUUUUUUUUAUAGUUGUAUAUAAAUUUAUUUUUAAAACUUGACUUAGGCUCCUGAAAUCCUUCGCACGGCACUGCAUGUGCUUUUCUAGUCAUAUUUUAGUGUCAUGAAAUAGUUUAGAUGCUAUUUUCUUAUUGGUGCAUCUCAUUUUUCAAAUCCUGUUUUGAAUUAUAUAAUUUUUUUUCUGAAAAGAUCAAAAUAGAAGCCUUGGUUGAGAAAGUAGUAGUACUCAAGUGGCACAUGUUGACUCCCAGCAUUUUGACACCAGCCAACCAUAUUCUCCACCGACAUCUUAUCACACCUAUUGACUAUUAAGGUUUUUCUAUCAAAUCAAAUAUCUAAUCUCGAUAGUGUAUAUAUCAUCAUCACACUUUCAACAAAAAUAUUCAAAACCAAACACCAUACAACAUGGAUCAUAAGACAAAUACGACACUGCUUUUCUCGCUCUUGUUUUUCAUUACACACCUCAGCAACGCGUUAUCAAAAGAUCUAUGUAACGAAAACGACAAAAACACCCUCCUCAAGAUCAAGAAGUCCCUAAACAACCCUUACCACCUCGCCUCGUGGCACCCCGAAACCGACUGCUGCUCCUGGUACUGCCUCGAAUGCGGCGACGCCACCGUUAACCACCGCGUCAUCUCCCUAACCAUAUUCGCCGGUCAGAUAUCCGGUCAGAUCCCGCCUGAAGUCGGUGACUUACCGUAUCUUCAGAAGCUUGUCUUCCGCAAACUCACUAACCUCACCGGUCAGAUCCCACACAGCAUCACCAAGCUCAAGUAUCUCACGUUUCUAUGGCUUAGCUGGACGAACCUCACCGGCCCGGUUCCUGAUUUUCUUAGUCAGCUCGUGAAUCUUGACUACUUAAACCUUUCGUUCAAUGAGCUUUCUGGUUCAGUACCUAGCUCUCUCUCCCUGUUACCUAAACUUACGUACAUUGAUCUUAGUAGGAAUAAGCUUACAGGUGAAUAACUCUUUUAUGUAUAAAAAAACGAUUAUAAAAAAUAAACUGUUUAUUACAUUGUUAUUUUUCUAUUCACAACGUUUUAACUUUCACUUAGGUACAAUACCAGAGUCAUUUGGAUCGUUUCCAGGAGAAGUUCCUUACCUUAUCUUAUCACACAACCAGCUCUCCGGUUCUAUACCCAAAUCACUAGGCAACCUUGAUUUUAACCGGAUAGAUUUCUCAAGGAACAAGCUCACAGGCGAUGCUUCGAUGUUGUUUGGAGCCAACAAAACGACGUUUUCCAUUGACUUAUCAAGAAACAUGUUCCAGUUUGAUCUGUCCAGAGUUGUGCUCCCUCAGUCACU